rnacentral:lncRNA from 1 species
GUGGAUUUCCAUCUUACAAUUGAAUAUAAGUAGAUUGCAAGGUUGAUGGAAAGUAGCAAAGCUUCCAGACUUGCGUGAACAGAAAAGAAACAUCAAUUUGAAAGAAAACAUGUAUUUAUUUACUUCCUCUACAGUUUUCCUGACUGCUACAUUUCAUAAGAAGGGAUUGUUUAUGAGGGUCAAGGAGCUGGAGGCCUGGGGAGGAGCUGGUGUUUUUGUUCAAGUCUGAGGGUCCUGGAGCUGGAGCCCAGGGGAGGAGCCGGUGCUACCACUGAUGUCUUAGGGUCGUGGAGCUGAAGAUCCAAGAGGAGCUGGUGCUGCUAUUCUAGCUUGAGUCUCAUGGAGCUGGAGACCCAGGGAGAAGAUGGUGCUGCUGUUCUAAUUUAAGGAUCGUGAAACAGAAGACCCAGAAAGGAGCUGGUGUUGUCGCUGCUCAAAUCUGAGGGUGUUGGAGCUGGAGCCUGGGGGUGGAGCUGGUGCUGCCUUUGAAGUCUGAGAGUCAUUGAGCUGGAGGUCCAGGAAGGAGCUGGUGCUGCUGUUCUAGGGUGAGGGUGGUGGAGCUGCAGACCCAGGGAGGAGAGGUCUUGUUCUAGUUUCAGGGUUGUGGAGCUGCAGACCCAUGGAGGAGCAAUGCUGUUGUAGUUCGAGGGUCAGGAAGCUGGCGACUCAGGGAGGAGAGUUCUUGUUCUAGUUCGAGGGUCAUCGAGCUACAGGCCCAGGCAGGUGCAAUGUUGUUGUAAUUCAAGGGUCAGGAAGCUGGCGACCCAGGGAGGAGAGGUCUUGUUGUUAUUUGAGGGUCAUGGAGCUGCAGACCCAGGCAGGAGCAAUGUUGUUGUAAUUUGAGGGUCCAGAAGCUGACGACGCAGGGAGGAGAGGUCUUGUUUGAGAUUGAGGGUCGUGGAGCUGCAGACCCAGGCAGGAGCAAUGUUGUUUUAGUUUGAGGGUCCGGAAGCUGGCAAACCAGGGAAAAGAGGUCUUGUUCUAGCUAAGGGUCGUCGAGCUACAGAUCCAGGGAGGAGCAGUGUUGUAGUUCGAGUCCGGAAGCUGGCGACCCAGGGAGGAGAGGUCUUGUUGUUAUUUGAGGGUAAUGGAGCUGCAGACCCAGGCAGGAGCAUUGUUGUUGUAAUUCGAGGGUCCGGAAGCUGGAGACCCAGGGAGGAGAGGUCUUGUUCUAGUUUGAGGGUUGUCGAGCUACAGACCCAGGCAGGAGCAAUGUUGUUGUAGUUCGAGGGUCAGGAAGCUGGAGACCCAGGGAGGAGAGGUCUUGUUCUUAUUUGAGGGUCGUGGAGCUGCAGACCCAGGCAGGAGCAAUGUUGUUGUAAUUUGAGGGUCCGGAAGCUGGAGACCCAGGGAGGAGAGGUCUUGUUCGAGUUUGAGGAUCAUGGAGCCGCAGACCCAGGGAGGAACAAUGUUGUUGUAGUUCGAGGGUCCUGGAGCUGCAGACCCAGGGAGGAGCCAUGUUGUUUUGAGUGUCAUGGAGCUGGAGAUCCAUGGAGGAGUUGGUGCUGCCUUUCAAGUCUGGGAGUCAUUGAGCUGGAGAUCCAGGGAGGAACAAGUGUUGCUGUUCUAGUCUGAGGGUAGUGAAGCUGGAGACCCAAGGAAGAGCCGGUGCUGCUGUUCAUGCCUGAGUGUUGUGGAACUGAAGAACCAGAGAGGAGGCGGUGCUGCUGUUCUAGUUUAAGGGUAGUGGCGCUGGAGAUCCUGGGGAGAGCCGGUGCCGUCGUUUAAAUCUGUGGGUCCUGGAGCUGGAGCCCUAGGCAGGAGCUGGUGUUGUUGUUGUUGAAAUCCGAGGUCAUGGGGCUUGAGGUACAGGGAGGAUCCGCUGCUGCUGUUCAAGUCUGAGGGUCGUGUAGCUAGAGAGCGGGGAGGAGGUAGUCUUGGUGUCUAGUGUGAGGGUGGUGGAGCUGUACACCUGGGGAGGAGCUGGUACUGCUGUGUAGUUUGAGGGUCAUGGAACUGGAGACCUAGGGAGGAGCCAGUGCUACUGCCAUUUAAGUCAGAAGGUUGUGGAUCUGGAGUUUUGGGGAACAGCCCGUGCUGCUGUUUAACUGUGGGGAGGUUCCUGUGUGUCAGUUGAAGUUUGAUGGUUUGGGAGCUGGAGACCCAGGGAGGAGCCAGUGCUGCUGUUCUAGUUUGAGGGUAGUGGAGCUGGAGAUCCCGGGAAGAGCUGGUGCUGUCCUUUAAAUCUGUGGGUCCUGGAGCUGGAAAACUGGUGGGGAGCUAGUUCUGCCAUUCAUGUCUUAGGGUCGUGGAGCUGGAAAUCCAGGGAGGCAGUGGUGCUGCUGUUCUAGUUUAAGGAUCAUGAAGCUGGAGACCUGGAUAGCAGAUGGUGCUACCAUUAUUCAAAUCUGAGGGUCAUGGAGCCGGAGCCUUGGGGAGUUGCCGGUGCCGCCUCUCAAGUCUGAGAGUUGUUGAGCUGGAGAUGCAGGGAGGAGCCCGUGUUGCUGUUGUAGUUUGAGGGUCAUGGAGCUGGAGACUCAGAGAGGAGGGGUGCUGUUCUAAUCUGAGGGGUGUGAAUCUGGAGACCCAGGGAGGAGCUGGUGCUGCUGUUGCUUAAGGCUGAGGGUUGUGGAGCUGGAGACCUGGGGGUGGCUGGUGUUGCUGUUGUUCAAGUCAGAGGGUCAUGGGGCUUGAGGUACAGGGAAGAGCUCGUGCUGCGGUUGCAGGUUGAGGGUCAUGGAGCUGGAAAUCUAGGGAGGAGCCACUGCUGCUGUUCAAGUCUGAGGGUCGUGUAGCUGGAGAGCGGGGAGGAGGUAGUGUUGGUGUCUAGUGUGAGGGUGGUGGAGCAGUAGACCUGGGGAAGAGCCGGUGCUGUGUAGUUUGAGGGUCAUGGAACUGGAGACCUAGGGAGCAGCCAGUGCUACCACCAUUUAAGUCAGAGGGUCAUGGAUCUGGAGCUUUGGGUAACAGCCCAUGCUGCUGUUUAACCUUGGAGGGAUCCGGUGUGUCAGUUGAAGUUUGAGGGUUUGGGAGCUGGAGACCCAGGGAGGAGCUGAUGAUGCCAUUCUAUUUUGAGGGUCGUGGAUCUGGAGACCUUGGGAGAGGCUGGUACUGCUGUUGAAGUUUGACGGUCGUGGAACCGGAGACAGGGGAAGGAGCCGGUGCUGCUGCUGUUCAUGUCUGAGGGUUGUAGAGCUGGAGACCCAGGGAGAAGUCCAUACUACGGCUUUUUAAGUCUGAGGGUCAUGGAGCCUGAGACCUGGGGAGGGGCCAGUGCUGCUGUUCAAAUGACUCCUUCCUGGGUCUCCAGCUCCAUGACCUUCAAACUAGGACAGCAGCAGCAGAUCCUUCCGGGGUCUUCCAGCUCCAUGACCUUCACACUAGAACAGCAGCACCGGCUCCACCCUGGGUCUCCAGAUCCACGACCCUCAAACUAGAACAGCAGCACUGACUCCUCCCUGGGUCUCCAGCUCUACAACCCUCAGACUCGAGGAGCUGGAGACCUGGGGAAGAGCCAGGGCUGCUUUUCUACUUUGAGGGUUGUGGAGCUGGAGACCCAGGGUGCAGCAGCUGCUGCUAUUAUAGUUUGAGGGCCUUGGAGCCAGAAACUUUGUGAGGAGCCGGUGCUGCGUUUCAAAUCUGAGAGUCAUUGAGCUGGAGACCCAGGGAGGAACCGGUGUUGCUGUUCUAGCCUGAGGGUAGUGAAGCUGGAGACCCAAGGAGGAGCCGAUGCUGCUGUUCUAGUUUGAGGUUAGUGGAGCUGGAGGUCACAGGAAGAGCCGGUGCUGCUGUUUAAAUCUGUGGGUCCUCGAGCUGGAGCCCUGUGGGGGAGCUGGUGUUGCUGUUGUUCAAGUCUGAGCAUAAUGGGGCUUUAGGUACAGGGAGGAGCCGCUGCUGUUCAAGUCUGAGGGUCAUGUAGCUGGAGAGUGGGGAGGAGGUAGUCUUGGUGUCUAGUGUGAGGGUGGUGGAGCUGUAGACCUGGGGAGGAGCCGGUGCUGCUGUGUAGUUUGAGGGUCAUGGAACUGCAGACCUAGGAAGGAGCCGGUGCUACCGCCAUUUAAGUCAGAGGGUCAUGGAUCUGGAGCUUUGGGGAACAGCCCGUGCUGCUGUUUAACUGUGGGGAGGAUCUGGUGUGUCAAUUGAAGUUUGAGGGUUUGGGAGCUGGAGACCCAGGGAGGAGCCGGUGAUGCCAUUCUAUUUUGAGGGUCGUGGAUCUGGAGACCUGGGGAGAGGCUGGUACUGUUGUUGUAGUUUGAGGGUCGUGGAAGUGGAGACAGGGCGAGGAGCCGGUGCUGCUGCUGUUCAUGUCUGAGGGUUGUAGAGCUGGAGCCCCAGGGAGAAGUCCAUACUAUGGCUUUUUAAGUCUGAGGGUCAUGGAGCCUGAGACCUGGGGAGGAGCUGGUGCUGGUGUAUAGUUUGAGGGUCGUGGAACUGGAGACCUAGGGAGGAGCCGGUGCUACCGCCACUUAAGUCAGAGGUUCGUGGAUCUGGAGCUUUGGGGAAGAGCCCGUGCUGCUAUUUAGCUGUGGGGAGGAUCUGGUGUGUCAAUUGAAGUUUGAGGGUUUGGGAGCUGGAGAUCCAGGAGGGAGCCUAUGAUGCCAUUCUAUUUUGAGGGUCAUGUAUGUGGAGACCUGGGGAGAGGCCGGUACUGCUGUUGUAGUUUGAGGGUUGUGGAAGUGGAGACAAAGGUAGGAGGCGGUGCUGCUGCUGUUCAUUUCUGAGGAUUGUAGAGCUGGAGGUCCACGGAGGAACCAGUGUUGCUGUUCUAGUCUGAGGGUAGUGAAGCUGGAGACCCAAGGAGGAGCUGGUACUAUUGUUCAUGUGUGAGGAUUGUGGAGCUGGAGAACCAGAGAGGAGCCGGUGCUGCUGAUCUAGUUUGAGGGCCGUGGAGCUGGAGAUCCCGGGAAGAGCCAGUGCUGCCGUUCAAAUCUGUGGGUCUUGGAGUUGGAGUGCUGGGGUGACCCGGUUCUUUCAUUCAUGUCUUAGAGUCAUGGAGCUGGAAACCCAGGGAGGCGGCGGUGCUGCUGUUCUAGUUUAAGGAUAGUGAAGCUGGAGACCUGGACAGGAGCUGGUGCUACCACUGUUCAAAUCUGAGGGUCAUGGAGCUGGAGCCUUGGGGAGGUGCCGGUGCUGCCUCUCAAGUCUGUGAGUUGUUGAGCUGGAGAUUCAGGGAGGAGCCAGUGUUGCUGUUGUUGUUGGAGGAUUGUGGAGCUGGAGGCUGAAGAGGAGCUGGUGUUGCAGUUCAAGUUUGAUGGUCGUGGAGCUGGAGACCUGGGGAGGAGCUGGUGCUACCACCGUGUAAGUUGAGGGUUGUGGAGCUGGUGGCCCCAGGGAAGAGCCAGUGCUAUAGUUGAAGUUUGAGGGAGCUGGAGACCCAGGGAGUAGCUGGUGCUGCUGUUCUAGUUUGAGGUUUGUGGAGCUGGAGCCUUGGUUGGGAGCCAGUGCCACCUCCCAAGUCUGAGAGUCAUUGAGCUGGAGAUCCACGGGGGAGCUGGUGCUGCUGUUGUAGUUUGAGGAUCAUGGAGCUGGAGACCCAGGUGGAGCUGGUGCUGCAGUUGGAGUUUGAGGGUCAGGGAGCUGGAGAUCUGGGGAGGAGCCAGUGCUGCUGUUUAAGUCUGAGGGUCGGGGAGCUAAACAUGGAGCCAAAGUUGGGGAAGUAGAGAGAGUUACAGGAUGACCCUGGAAACGGUGAUGUAGCUGUAGCCCAAGCAAGCUAAGCUUGGGAACUUCUCAAUGCUAGUGAUGAGUGCAUUCUUUUUCCUCUUAUACAGUUUGGAUUUCUUUUCUGUCUCAUAAGACAGAAAGUUCCUGAUUAAUACCCUUAGGAAUUGAAAAGCUUAAAAAAACUAAAGGAUGUUGGUAAUAAUAAUAAUAGGAAUUAAACCAUGAUUAUCCUGGCUGACAGAGACAAAAUCACACACACACAAUAUAUAUCUUUCAAUCAGUUAGUAAAAUAAAAAAUAAAUGGAAAAAUAGACCCAAGCAAAGCUAUAAAAAGUUGUUUCAUGGAGAAGCAAUGGAGGACGGAGAUUAAUCUGAGAGUUGCUAUUAAUGGAGAAACUGAGAACUUAC